rnacentral:rRNA from 1 species
GAUGAACGCUAGCUACAGGCUUAACACAUGCAAGUCGAGGGGAAAUGAUAUUGGAAGCUUGCUUCCGAUAGGCGUCGACCGGCGCACGGGUGAGUAACGCGUAUCCAACCUGCCCAUCACUUGGGGAUAACCUUGCGAAAGUAAGACUAAUACCCAAUGAUAUCCGUCGAAGACAUCUGAAGUGGAUUAAAGAUUCAUCGGUGAUGGAUGGGGAUGCGUCUGAUUAGCUUGUUGGCGGGGUAACGGCCCACCAAGGCAACGAUCAGUAGGGGUGCUGAGAGGAAGGUCCCCCACAUUGGAACUGAGACACGGUCCAAACUCCUACGGGAGGCAGCAGUGAGGAAUAUUGGUCAAUGGACGAGAGUCUGAACCAGCCAAGUAGCGUGCAGGAUGACGGCCCUAUGGGUUGUAAACUGCUUUUAUAAGGGAAUAAAGUGGGAGUCGUGACUCCUUUUGCAUGUACCUUAUGAAUAAGGACCGGCUAAUUCCGUGCCAGCCGCCGCAGUAA